GAUGAAGAACGCAGCGAAAUGCGAUAAGUAAUGUGAAUUGCAGAAUUCAGUGAAUCAUCGAAUCUUUGAACGCACAUUGCGCCCGCCAGAAUUCUGGCGGGCAUGCCUGUUCGAGCGUCAUUUCAACCCUCGGUCUCCCUCCGGGAGAGACCGGCGUUGGGGACCGGCACUUACCCCGCCGGCCCCGAAAUGAAGUGGCGGCCCGUCCGCGGCGACCUCUGCGUAGUAACUCCACUCGCACCGGGACCCGGGCGCGGCCACGCCGUAAAACCCCCAACUUCCGAAUGUUGACCUCGAAUCAGGUAGGAAUACCCGCUGAACUUAAGCAUAUCAAUAAGCGGAGGA
rnacentral:misc_RNA from 1 species